UAACCUGGACUAGUGGAAAGUGUCCCUGACCAUGGCAGGGGGUGAGAACAAGCUGCCUCCCUCCUGCUUCCCUGGGAAUCCAAAACUCUUCCUUUGGUGGUCGCUGUGCCCAGGACAGUUCCCCCAUCACAACACUUCUCUUUUCUGGUUUGUAUUUUGUCCUCCAAUUUUUUUCUAACUUGUUUCCAUUUCCUUUGGUGGUCGCUGUGCCCACGACAGUUCCCCCAUCACAACACUUCUCUUUUCUGGUUUGUAUUUUGUCCUCCAAUUUUUUUCUAACUUGUUUCCAUUAUCUCAGAAGUUUCUUUCUCACAGUCCUGCACCCGAGGCAGGGAGGGCUCUCCCCUGGGCUCCUGGCUGUCACAAAGGGAUUUCUGACUGUCCCACACUGUCACAAAGAGGGGUCUGGCUGCCCCAUGAUGUCACACAGGGGACUCUGCCAGGCUAUAAAAGGGGCCCCACAGGAGCAGAUAGUGCUGGGCACAACAGUCUGGCAGUGUCUUGGCAGACAACAGCCUCGGCCUCUGCCAUCCCACCAGGGUUGGAUUCCCCUUACUGGAACCCUGCAGGUCUCUGGGGAACCUCUCCACCGGCCUGUACUGGUAACCUGGAGCUCCAGGGAUGGUACCAUGGGGUGCCCCAAGACCUUCGCCCAAGGCUCACCCCAACCUCCCAGGUGCUCUUGGAGGAGCAGUGCAAGGAGCUGCAGGCACAGCUGCCCCGGUGGAUGCAGAAGGGCUGCAGGGCAGCCCAGCCUGAGGCGCCCGUGGGGCUGCUGGGGGGCAAGGAGGGGCCGCAGGGCCGCGGCCAGCAGCGGCCGAAGGCGGGCAGGAAGGACAAAGCCAAGGCCAAGAGACUGGGCCCCAAGCCCCACGGCAAGGCAGGGACUGCAGGCAGCAGCAUCUUCCUGGAGCUGGAGCACGGCAGCAGCUGCAGGGCCAUGGCCUGGUUCCUGCCCCCCGGAGAAGUGCAGGGCUUCGGCCCCACGGCCCCCAGGGGCAGCAUCAGCUCUCUGGGGCUGGGCAGGAGCGUGGCCGCUGCUCGGGGCCGGGGCUCCCUGUCCCUGCCCAGGCCCCCGCAGCAGCUGCCCGAGGCCAGGGAGCCCGAGGCCAGCAGGACGGGCUGUGGGCUCCUGGAGCUCUGCUCCUCGCUGAGGGAGCUGCUGGUGGGCUGCUGGACACGGCUCGUCCAGCGGCGCCGCAGCCGCCACGUGCGCUUCGCCAGCCCGCUGGUGACAGUGAGGUACAUCGACUAGGGGCUGCUCCCCGAGCCUGGAGCUCAUUUCUAGCUAAUACAUUACCGAAACCCAACCGUUCUGUGCUGGUAUCCUUCAGUUCUGACCCUCCCCAGAGCCCUGGAGCUCAUUUCUAGCUAAUACAUUACCAAAACCCAACCGUUCCAUGCCUGUAUCCCUUCAGUUCUGACCCUCCCCAGAGCCCUGGAGCUCAUCUCUAUUUAAUACAUUACCAAAACCCAACCAUCCCAUGCCUGUAUCCCUUCAGUUCUGCCCCUGCUCGCCAUCCCUACAGGGAUGUGGGAAAGUGUUCCCAACCCCGGCAGGGGGAUUGCAACAAGGUGAAUUUUAAGGUCCCUCCCAACCCCAAGCACUCUGUGUUACACCCUGUGUCAUGACUUGCCUCUUGGAUGGGAGUUGGCCACAUCUGGCACUGCCCAGGGAGCUGUGCCUCAAUUUAUGGCCGCAGCCCUUGGUGUGCAGAGUCCUGUGAGAGAGCUGCACUAAAACCUGCAGCUGCUUUCCUGCAUGGCACCGUCCCGGACCUCAGGGCUGGGUCAGACACCAGCCCUGGCUCUCUGCUGACCGUGGCACUCUGGAUGUCACUGCAGCUGGGCAGGGACAGAUUCCCAACAAACCCAGCUCUCCCCACCUCCCACUGAAUGCAAGAGCUGAAAGGUGGUGAAGAAAACCAGAGUGAUAAUGUUCUGUGCUGUGCCAGGAGGACAACAUGGGGUUCUGUGCAUGCCAGGCCAGCAGGGCAGUUCCUCAGAGUUCUUUGAGCAAGAAACUCUCACCUGCCCGCUGGAGCUGCUGAUCUCCUGGGAAGGAGAGGGACUGGGGUCAGACUGGUCACAGAAUCACAGAACUGUUUGACUGGGAAAGGAGUUUUAAAGUCAUUCCAUCCCACCCCUGCCACAGCAGGGACACCUCCCACUGCCCCAGGCUGCUCCAGCCCCAGUGUCCAGCCUGGCCUUGGGCACUGCCAGGGAUCCAGGGGCAGCCACAGCUGCUCUGGGCACCCUGUGCCAGCCCUGCCCACCCUGCCAGGGAACAAUUCCUGCCCCACAUCCCACCCAGCCCUGCCCUCUGGCAGUGGGAGCCAUUCCCUUUUGUCCCAUCUCUCCAUCCCUUAUCCAAAAUCUCCAUCCCUCUUGCAGGCCCCUUCCAGAUGCCACCUGCCCGUGGCAGGUCUGUGGAGCUGAGCCAGUGCAGUUGAGGCUGAGUUUCCCAUCCCAUCAACUUUUCCUGUUUAUUCCUUUCUAACACACCGAGCACCCCUCAGGCAGCCCCUGAGGCAAGCCUACAGCAAUAAAUACAGCUGACAACAGCCAGAGCCCCUGAUCAACAGCCGGGCUGACUCCUGGGGAAGCUGACUGCCUGCUCAUGCUGUCCAUCCAAAGGUCCUGGCAGGGCAGGAGCAGCUCGGGCGCUGCAGGUGCAUCUCUGUGUCCCCUCGGGUGGCAGAGUGACCCUGUGUCACCUGUGCAGGGGAAGGACAAAGGACAAGGAGCUGCCACACGUCCCCCACAGCUGGGGCUGGUGCGGGUGCCUCAGGGCUCGGACACACACCCCGGGCUCUGAAAGCCAGAGAAACGGAAAAUGCUGCGGCCACGGCGAGGAUCUGUGGGGAACAGCAAGGAACUGGCACCAGCCGAGGUUCCCAGCGCUGCGCGAGGGAUUUGUCCUGGAUCUGAACGAAACAGAUGCGAGAGCAGAGCCGGGGCUGGGGGAGCGGCCCCAAGCUGAGCUUUGCCAAAACCUCCCUCCCGCAGCCCCCGGUACCGGGGACAGCAGAGACCGACACCCGAACGUCCCCGUGCCCGGUCACCGGCCCGGGGGGACACGGGAACCCCGGUCCCGCUUCUGUCCCCACACGGGAACCCCGGUCCCGCUUCUGUCCUCGGUCCCGGUUCUGUUCCCACUCUCAAACCCCGGUCCCGGUUCUGUCCCAGCUCUCGGUCCCGGUUCUGUCCCCGAUCUCGGUCUCGGUCCUGGUUCUGUCCCCGCUCUCAGUCCCGCUUCUGUCCCCGCUCUCGGUCCCGGUUCUGUCCCCGCUCUCGGUCCCGGUCCCGGUUCUGUCCCUGCAGUUCCCCGCGGUGCCGCCGGGGGGCGCUGGUGCCGCGGCCGCAGCGGGGCCGGGAGCGCCCCGGGGGGGGGGGGGGGGGGGGGGGGG
ensembl:lncRNA